GAAUAUUAGUCAAUGCUCGAAAGAGUGAACUAGCUAACUGAAAUCAAUUAUAAAAAUUGAUAACAUAAGGGAAAAUAAUGAUAUUACCUUAUUAUUAGUGUCGUCCAAAUCUGGUGCCAGAAGACUCGGUAAGGCCAGAGACACAAACGUUAAUCGUCUUAAUCAGGCGUAAAGGGUUUGUAGGCGGCUUUAAAAAUUAUUAAAAAAUUAAUUUUUUGUAAUAAUUAAAGAAUAAAAGCUAGAAUCAAAAAGAGGAUAUAUUAAAGAAUGCUUAGAGUAGGUCUGAUAUCCUUAGAUACUAAGUAGAAUAUUAAAGGCGAAAGCUUUUUUCCAUUAAUGAUUGACGCUCAGAAACGAAGGUGAGGAUAGGAAAUAGGAUUAGAUACCCAAAAUACCCCUCUCUGUCAACGAUGAAUGGUAGUUAUUAGUAAAAAUUUUAUUAAUGACUAUGUUAACACGAUAACCAUUCCGCCUUGUGAGUACAACUGCAAAGUUGAAAACAAAAAAAUUAGUCGGUUUCGGAGCAAACGAAGUGAAGCAUGUUAUUUAAUUC
rnacentral:rRNA from 1 species